GUGAAAACCUAGCAUCCUCCGAGACACCCGCGCUCCCUUCCCUUGUCGGCGCCUGCGCCUGCGCUCGCUGGCCACGGAAGGGCGGCGGCGGACUCGUCUCCUCCCUCCACCCCCAAUCAACUCUCGCGUCCCCUCCACCUCCCCUAUAGCAGGCGCAGCGGGAUGGCCAAGAAGCCCGCCGGAGACGCGGAGGCGGAAGAGCGGCGGCGCCUGCGCUCGCUGGCCGCGGAACAGCGGCGGCUGGCCGGCCCUGGAGUAGCACGCGAGGGAUCAGCGGUCGAAGCUCUGCCACCGAGCCCUCCUCCGCUAUCCUCGGUGACCCUUGGUCGUUGCCUCCAAGCUCUCCUAUUAGGCUACCAUGGCGGCCUACAGUGGCAGGAGAUGUCACGUCUGCAGGUGUCUAGGGCUGUAACAUGGACAAUAGAUGCAGUACUAAAUACAAUCAACGGCUAUCUUGUGUUGGAUUUCUUCUCAUCAGAGCUAUGAGGUCCAUUUUAUGGAUAUGUUCUCUGUGUGGCAGCACUUCAAGGCCUAAUAUGUAGCAUGCUACAUCAAUGCAUGGUAUGAGAGAACCGGGAUGCAAAUGCUACAUGCAGCUUCUGUACCAAGCUUGAAGAAAUUCAGAAAUUAAGGAAGCAUAAAAAAUUCAAGAUCUUUUACAUCAGAAUGUUGCUGCAUGUUUUGUAUAGAUUGGUAAUGCGCAGCAGCUGCAAGAGGUUACAAUUGUAGAUUACUCUGUUGGAAAUACGCGCCCUCAUGACCCCUUCAGCGUGGCAUUAUCACUCCAUGUCACCAUGUCGUAUGCACAGAGGUAGCCUUCUGGUAUGUGUCAUACUAUAUACAUUUUUGUGUGCCUGGUGAUUUCUGGAAUGGUACCAUAUACAUUGCUUGGUGAAGAUGCUCCCUUGGCUGAGGCUUUUGCUGCUAAGAGGUUGAGAUUUGUUACUGUGUUGAGCAUUGGAGCUGUUGCUGAUCUUACUACAACACUUCUUGUUGGUCUGUAUGUUCAGUUCCCGAAGUCCUCAUCUGCCAGAAGCACAACUAUCUGGUUGACUGGUCCUCUUUGCUUCUUCCACCCUUGCCGCCAGAGGACGCCACCCAUCAGCACAGAGCGUUUUGGCUCAGAGGCUAUUUUGAGCAGUGCUGCCAGAAGAUGCAGAUCAGGAAGGAAGCAGAGCAACCAGGCGCGAGUAAUGGUAUCAUCAGGGCUGCCUCAUAGGUUGAUUUAAAAAGGGUACAGUAUCCAGAAAAGAGGAUUUUUUAGCUUGAAAAGACUAUUCCACUGCACCAUCGCUGGUCAAUUAUUACACUACAUACCUCGCAUGGAAAAUUGUCACGUUGCUGGAUUUUGCUUCAAAAGCUCAUUGAACGAAAUAAUAGCAAUCAAGAACACGUGCUGCUUCAUCAGGCCAAUUCUUCCGCGCAAGACGCGGAGGCCUUCAUCGAGCUUCGCGGAAACCUUCGCAGGUCAGAUUCUGUUCAUCGCUUGCUUGCUUAUCAUCCUCGAAACAUUCCUGGCGCACCGCUAAAUAUAGUCCAGCAAUGUAGCAACCAAUUUCAACUCACACUCUUGAACACUUAUCUAAGCAUUUCCAGAAACUAGAAACAAAAGUAAGCUGCAGGUAAAUAUUCAAUUGCAUCAUAGUAACAUCAUAGCACUGAUUUGUACCGAUUUGUACCGAUUUAAUAUAUCCGAAGUCUGCGUCCUACAAAACUAUAUAGCUGAUAAAAGCAUAUGGUAUACAAGUCAGCAUGCUGCUGGACAAUACUUAACUCAUCUUCUUUUAUCUUUUACUUCAAUCCAUUUCAAUCAUAAACUUCUUAACAUGUGUUCUGUAGUUCUUAGAGUACUUAUUCAUAUACAUACUCCUAACUUCAUGUUGCUCUACCUUCUUUCGCCGUUCUACUUCAUGAUCAAAUAAUAUUUGUAUGUCUAUAACAACUUCCAUGGAGACUGUAAAGAUUCCAACAGAUGAGCUUCUGGAAGCCAUGCUAAAGAAGCUGGGUCUUCCAUGUCCCAGGUACGACAACAAGCACGCUGGCGGAGGAUGCUUUGAAGUAACCCUGACAUACUACCCUCCUUGGCAUUAUCUGCAAUCUUUGAUUCCUCCGCACUCAUUAUCUCUUUACUGUUUGUUAUUGUGAAACAAAGAUUGGAUGUGUGUCUAUUCUUUUAUGCUGCCUGCAUUUUUGGAAAACAAAUUUUAUGGUUUGAAAUAGAGGUCUGCGGGGUGGUUAUCGAGGAUGGCGAGUUCAUGUGCAAGUGGAUAUUUGUGUUGAGCGGGACCAGGAAGGCCAAGUGCAUCUUUGUUGCUGAGCACAUCAAGGAAUCUGUAUAUCAGUCAGCUAAUAUUCAGCCUCCAUAUACAUACCAGCGCUGCAUUAGCCUUCUGUGCAUUCAUCGUCGAACAGCAUACAAACAUUUAUCUUCUUUCCCCAGGAGAAAAAGGGCACCUUUCAGCGCUCUAGGUUUCUGUUGAAGGUGCUACAUCUGCUGCGGGGUGAUUACUUGUCAAAGAUGGCAACUACAUCGGUGGACCAAACUGCACAUUCUUUAGUUAUGGUGAAUGCAACUAUCUAACCAUUUCAAGGAUGUGUUAAAAGCAGGCUCAGUUUAUGCUAUAGAAUUCUUCAUGGAUAAAGGAGAUUAUGACCUAGCCAAAAAUAGCUUGCCACCGUUUUAUGAUACAUUAAUGCUAACUUUAAUAUACUCUUUUAUCCUAAUAUAAGACCUAGAUAUAAGAAAAUUAUUGGUGUCCUGCAUUUUUUAGUGUUUUAUAAAAUAAAAACUGAUGUGAAGUCAUGGGAUCGAUCA